UACGAAGGGAGCUAGCGUUGCUCGGAAUCACUGGGCGUAAAGCGCACGUAGGCGGCUUGGUAAGUCAGGGGUGAAAUCCUGGAGCUCAACUCCAGAACUGCCUUUGAUACUGGCGAUCUCGAGUCCGGGAGAGGUGAGUGGAACUGCGAGUGUAGAGGUGAAAUUCGUAGAUAUUCGCAAGAACACCAGUGGCGAAGGCGGCUCACUGGCCCGGUACUGACGCUGAGGUGCGAAAGCGUGGGGAGCAAACAGG
rnacentral:rRNA from 1 species